rnacentral:rRNA from 1 species
GUAGGGUGCGAGCGUUGUCCGGAAUUAUUGGGCGUAAAGAGCUCGUAGGCGGUCUGUCGCGUCGGUCGUGAAAACUUGGGGCUUAACCCUGAGCUUGCGGUCGAUACGGGCAUGACUGGAGUUCGGCAGGGGAGACUGGAAUUCCUGGUGUAGCGGUGAAAUGCGCAGAUAUCAGGAGGAACACCGGUGGCGAAGGCGGGUCUCUGGGCCGAUACUGACGCUGAGGAGCGAAAGCGUGGGGAGCGAACAGGGAUUAGAUACCCUGGUAGUCCACGCCGUAAACGGUGGGCGCUAGGUGUGGGGGGCCCAUUCCACGGUCUCUGUGCCGCAGCUAACGCAUUAAGCGCCCCCGCCUGGGGAUACGGCCGCAAGGCUA